CUCCAUUACUUCUGGGACUUUUCAGCUGUGGCAUUUUUCCCUUUGUAGCCAUGGAAGAGCUUUUUACUUAUUGGAAAAGCUGCUAACCUUUAUAUGGUAUCAGCAUCUGACUUACACAAGUAACAUUC